UUAUUGGAGAGUUUGAUCCUGGCUCAGGACGAACGCUGGCGGCAUGCCUAAUACAUGCAAGUCGAGCGGACUUGAAGAGAAGCUUGCUUCUCUGAUGGUUAGCGGCGGACGGGUGAGUAACACGUAGGCAACCUGCCCUCAAGCUUGGGACAACUACCGGAAACGGUAGCUAAUACCGAAUACUUGCUUUCUUCGCCUGAAGGAAGCUGGAAAGACGGAGCAAUCUGUCACUUGAGGAUGGGCCUGCGGCGCAUUAGCUAGUUGGUGAGGUAACGGCUCACCAAGGCGACGAUGCGUAG
rnacentral:rRNA from 1 species